AUGCUUCCUGAAAGACCAGUUCAUGCAUUACUUUACUUUUUUUUCUACUCAAAGCCUUAUUGGUUCGGAAAAUCUGCAGUUGCGCCACCUGUCUAGUUCCCAACUUUUCAGAUUAACGAGUUUCAACUGCUCUUUAAUGUUAUUCUCUGCAGUGAUAAUGGAAAAUUAUGUUUUUCAAGUAAAUUAUUUUAUUCUUAUAAGAAUAUGAAAAGAGUGAUUGGUACAGUAAUUGUGCCAUUUGUUUUACAUGCUUUGAGAAGUGACACAACAUCUAUUCACCUUUUUCAGCAUUGUAUUUCAUCCAUUUAUUGCAUAUAUUUGAUUUUUUCAUACUAUUCCAACAUGUCCAUUAUAGUUAAUCGAUUCAGUAUUCCUUCUGUACAUUUUAGAUUUUUCGAACAUUCAGCAUUUCUAGCACUACUACGUUAAACCCCAUUCAGCAUUAUUUCUAAAGUUUUAGCUUACUUAUCAUUCAUUUUUUUUCACAUCAUGUAACAUCUUUUCAUUCGUGCAACUUCAUUUUCACCCCAUUCAAUGUUCCUUUCAUCGUCCAGCUUCCCCAGGACCGGCUGGAGCCCACACAGCAAGUGCUCAAUCGUUAAAAGAGAGAGAGAGAGUGUGGGUGUGAGAAGACUUAGUGGGUCCCCUGGCUCCCAGUGCUCCCUACACACCCCUCCAGGCCGUGCCCCCUCCUGGCAUGGCGGGCCUGCAUUCCCCCCCUCUCACCUCUUCCCCGCGCCACCACCAGGGUUCCCCCAGGCAGGCUAUACAUGGAGCAAGCAGGGGCCUUGUCUCCGGGGGUAUGGGGGACACCUCCUCUCCUGCUCGACGGCCACGCGAGUUUGAUGUGCGAGCUGAGAUGGAAAAGCACAAAUUCAAUCUCUCCAUUGACGACUGAAGUCCACGCAGCUAGCAACAUUUUUUUCCUUAUUAAUAAUUCUUAUUUUGCUUGCUUGAUUAUUUUAUAAAAUAGGUCAUGUUCAUUUUUUUUGUCCCUUUUUUUAAGUUGAGGUAAAAUAGAUUGGUCAUUUCAUAGGCCAAUUUUCAAUUUUAAUUUUUCUUUUUUAUCCUGAACUGUUGUCAUUUUUAUUUGUAUCAUUAUUUUACAGGAAAGGUUGGAACUGUGCCAUUUAUGUGAGAAGGUUAUGUUAUGUUAUAUAUAUAUUUAGAAUUAUUUGUUUUCCUUUGUUUCUUUUUUUCCAGAACUUCAGCAUUUGUGACAGAAGUAGCCCACAGCCUUUUUAUUUCAACAUAGCUUUCAGAGUUUUACAACAGUCAUGCCAGAUAUAUAUAUAAACAUCCCAAUAUCUAUACAUUAAUAGUGUUAUCAUUAUAUUAACUAUCUUGACCGGUUAAAAUACCCACAUCCAAAUGCUUCCUUUAUUUAGUACGUGGAUAAUUCUCCUGCGCGUGUCUGUUUCCAAAAUAUUCAGAUGUGAUAAGAUUUUCCUUUCGUUUCCUCUUUUUUAUGUAGAAUAGGCAUUGUAUUGUGCUAACAGGAGACUGGCUUAGAAAAAAAUACUCAUUCAUAUAAAUCACUUUUUUUUUUCUUACUCGUUUUUUAUUCAUUUUGUCUCUCCUGUUUGACAGUGUACAGAACGCAGUUGACGUACAUAUAUACAUAUAUAUCUUUGAGAAGGAUUUUUAAGUAUGUUCUGUAUAUCCAAUGCUUUGUUGAUUGUAUAGAAAAAAAUGCUUCAAGUAUUCUAGACAGGCCCUUAAUUGUUAGUUGAUUUUGGUAAAAUGAAAAAAAAGGGCUAUGAAAAAGCAAAGUUGUGUUGGGGUUCUUUAUAAUAGCAAAAUAUGUCUUGUAUAUGUCCAUUGUAGCAUGGUAAGAUGUUCUCUGUAUGUUACUUGUAAAUAAAAGAUUUAAAGUAAAA